CAAAGAUAGAAAGUUAACGCAUCCUUCAUGAAGAUGUUUGCAUUCAAGUUUGCUUCCAUUGCAAUUUUCCUACUGAUUGUCUCUGGUUUGCAGGUUGGGGCAAGAGCAAGAGGCCCAAUAGUUGGUUUUGGAUGCAAAACAGUAAGAGAUUGUAUUGAAAAUAAUCCAACAUGUUCUCAAGAGAUUUGUCAACCACCCUACUGGUGUUUUUGUAUAAACUAUAUGUGUGCAUGUCAACCAGAUUUAUUAAGUGCUACAACCUUUAUUGGAAAUCAAAUAGCAAACAAGUAAAAGGAAUUGUCAAAACAUGUGUAACUUAGUAAAACUUUUGAAUUGGGCUUUUACUUGUAUACAGAAAUAAAAAAGAAAGUUUGGCACCAA